AUGUCGUCGGCAAAGCAUGGUGCUGCUGAUGCAAAGUCACUGUAUGGAAAUCAGGACUCACUCCAACAGAGUCACAGAGCCGUGUCUUUACACUCAGAGGUUUUUGUACGACGACUCAACCACUUUGUAUCACUGUGGUGGACGUUCGGUGGAGGAACCAGACUGGAGGUUGGAAGUGAUGUCAUUCCCACCCUGACGGUGCUGCCCCCCUCCACAGAGGAGCUGCAGCAGGGGAAGGCCACGUUCAUGUGCCUGGCCAACAAGGGCUUCCCCUCAGACUGGAGUCUGUCCUGGAAGGUGAACGGCGGCAGCAGCAGCAGCUGGGAGGAGAGCAGGAGCCCCGCGGUGCUGCAGAAGGACGGCCACUACAGCUGGAGCAGCACCCUGAGGCUCCCUGCAGACCAGUGGAGGAAGGUGAACUCUGUGACCUGUGAGGCCACCCAGGGCUCCCAGUCUGCACUCUCACACACACUGAGGACACACCAGUGU